rnacentral:rRNA from 1 species
CACUGGAAGAAUUUACUUUCAGCAAUACCUGCCCGGUGCAAAGUGUAAACGGCCGCCCUAGCGUGAGGGUGCGAAGGUAGCGAAAUUCCUUGCCUUUUAAUUGUAGGCCUGCAUGAAUGGUUCGACGAGGGCUUAACUGUUUCUUACCUUUAUAAUGAAAUUGAAAUAUAGGUGAAGAUGCCUUUAUGAAAAAAUUAGACAAAAAGACCCCGUGCAACUUUUUAAAAUCGGUGAAUUUAGAAGCUUCGAGAUUUUUAGGUGGGGCGCCUAUAGAGCAAAUCUAACCUCAAGAGUAAUUUAAACUUACUAGUCUAGACCCGGCAUAUCGUCGAUCUAAGGAGAAGUUACGCCGGGGAUAACAGGCUUAUCCAACAGUAGAGCUCGUAUUGGCUGUUGGGAUUGGCACCUCGAUGUUGAAUCAGGGAUGAUACCUUUAGGGCGUAGAAGCUCUGAAAGUGGGUCUGUUCGACCUUUAAUACCCU